rnacentral:rRNA from 1 species
AUUGUCCUACGGGGGGCAGCAGUGGGGAAUAUUGCACAAUGGGGGAAACCCUGAUGCAGCGACGCCGCGUGAGCGAUGAAGUAUUUCGGUAUGUAAAGCUCUAUCAGCAGGGAAGAAAAUGACGGUACCUGACUAAGAAGCCCCGGCUAACUAGGUGCCAGCAGCCGCGGUAAUACGUAGGGGGCAAGCGUUAUCCGGAUUUACUGGGUGUAAAGGGAGCGUAGACGGUUCUGCAAGCCAGAUGUGAAAGCCCAGGGCUCAACCCCGGGACUGCAUUUUGAACUGUAAGGCUAGAGUGUCGGAGG